CAGGUGGUGCAUGGUUGUCGUCAGCUCGUGUCGUGAGAUGUUGGGUUAAGUCCCGCAACGAGCGCAACCCUCGCCGUUAGUUGCCAGCAGGUUUGGCUGGGCACUCUAACGGGACCGCCGGUGUCAAGCCGGAGGAAGGUGGGGAUGACGUCAAGUCCUCAUGGCCCUUACGGGUAGGGCUACACACGUGCUACAAUGGCAGUGACAGAGAGCUAAUCUCUAAAAACUGUCUCAGUUCGGAUUGUCUUCUGCAACUCGAAGGCAUGAAGUUGGAAUCGCUAGUAAUCGCGGAUCAGCAUGCCGCGGUGAAUACGUUCCCGGGCCUUGUACACACCGCCCGUCGCACCAUGGGAGUUGGUUUUACCCGAAGGUGGUGCGCUAACCGUAAGGAGGCAGCCAACCACGGUAAGGUCAGCGACUGGGGUGAAGUCGGAACAAGGUAGCCGUAGGGGAACCUGCGGCUGGAUCAC
rnacentral:rRNA from 11 species